rnacentral:rRNA from 1 species
CCGCGGUACGAUUCCCUUGAGUUGAUCAUGGCUCGAAUGAACGUUGGCGGCGUGGAUUAGGCAUGCAAGUCGCGCGCGAAACGUAGCAAUACGUGGAGAGCGGCGAAAGGGAGAGUACAACACGGUUAGCUACCUUCGGGACUGGGAUAGCGGCGGGAAACUGCCGGUAAUACCAGAUGACGUCUUCGGACCAAACGUGUAAACCGGCCCGAGGAGGCGACCGUGUCCUAUCAGCUAGUUGGCGGUGUAACGGACCACCAAGGCUAAGACGGGUAUGGGGCGUGAGAGCGUGCCCCCACUCACUGGGACUGAGACACUGCCCAGACACCUACGGGUGGCUGCAGUCGAGAAUCUUCGGCAAUGGGCGCAAGCCUGACCGAGCGACGCCGCGUGCGGGAUGAAGGCCUUCGGGUUGUAAACCGCUGUCGUAGGGGAGGAAGGUCUGGUGUAGAGCCUGGCUUGACCGAUCCUAGGAGGAAGGGCCGGCUAAUCUCGUGCCAGCAGCCGCGGUAAUACGAGAGGCCCAAACGUUAUUCGGAUUUACUGGGCUUAAAGAGCUCGUAGGCGGCGCAGAAAGUAGGGUGUGAAAGCCCUCGGCUCAACCGAGGAAUUGCGCUCUAAACUACUGUGCUCGAGGAACCUAGAGGUGAGCAGAACUGAUGGUGGAGCGGUGAAAUGCGUUGAUAUCAUCAGGAAUACCGGAAGCGAGGCGGCUCACUGGGGGUUUCUGACGCUGANGAACGAAGCAGGGGAGCGACGGGAUAGAUACCCGGUU